AAUCGAUGGUAGUUUCUGCGACUACCAUGGUUGUCACGGGUAACGGGGAAUCAGGGUUCGAUUCCGGAGAGGGAGCCUGAGAAACGGCUACCACAUCCAAGGAAGGCAGCAGGCGCGCAAAUUACCCACUCCCGGCACGGGGAGGUAGUGACGAAAAAUAACGAUACGGGACUCUUACGAGGCCUCGUAAUCGGAAUGAGUACACUUUAAAUAUUUUAACGAGGAACAAUUGGAGGGCAAGUCUGGUGCCAGCAGCCGCGGUAAUUCCAGCUCCAAUAGCGUAUACUAAAAUUGUUGCGGUUAAAAAGCUCGUAGUUGCAUUUGUGCGCCGCGCUGUCGGUGCACCGCAUCCGCGGUGAUACUGACACGUCUGCGGAGCAUAUCGUCGGUGAGCCGUCGGUCAAACGUCGGUUCAAUAUCAAAAUCCUAUCGCGGUGCUCUUCAAUGAGUGUCGAGGUGGGCCGACAAUUUUACUUUGAACAAAUUAGAGUGCUCAAAGCGGGCUCAAAAUGCUGCUUGAAUAUUUCGUGCAUGGAAUAAUAGAAUAUGAUCUCGGUUCUAUUUUGUUGGUUUUCAGAACUCCGAGGUAAUGAUUAAUAGGGAUAACUGGGGGCAUUCGUAUUGCGACGUUAGAGGUGAAAUUCUUGGAUCGUCGCAAGACGAACAUCAGCGAAAGCAUUUGCCAAAGGUGUUUUCAUCAAUCAAGAACGAAAGUUAGAGGUUCGAAGGCGAUUAGAUACCGCCCUAGUUCUAACCGUAAAUAUGUCAUCUAGCGAUCCGCCGACGUUACUACAAUGGCUCGGCGGGCAGCUUCCGGGAAACAAAGAUUUUGGACUCCGGGGGGAGUAUGGUUGCAAAGCUGAAACUUAAAGGAAUUGACGGAAGGGCACCACCAGGAGUGGAGCCUGCGGCUUAAUUUGACAACACGGGAAAUCUCACCAGGCCCGGACACCGGAAGGAUUGACAGAUUAACAGCUCUUUCUUGAUUCGGUGGGUGGUGGUGCAUGGCCGUUCUUAGUUGGUGGAGCGAUUUGUCUGGUUAAUUCCGGUAACGAACGAGACUCUAGCCUGCUAAAUAGGCGUCGUCAUUUAGGUGUGCGUGGCUCCGUCACGCAACUCACUGGCGACGUAUUAAAAUUCUUCUUAGAGGGACCGGCGGCUUCGAGCCGCACGAGAUUGAGCAAUAACAGGUCUGUGAUGCCCUUAGAUGUCCUGGGCCGCACGCGCGCUACACUGAAGG
rnacentral:rRNA from 1 species